CCUGCCUCAGAAUAACCAAUCAAUAAAUGGAUCCAAAAAAAGGUGAUUGAAACCUAAAGACGUGUGUUAGCUCCCGACGCUCAUAGGUAUAACACACCCAGGCUAUAGCUCUGACUCACACACACGGACUCACACACAGACACACACUGACUCACACACGGACACACACACACUGACACACACACUCAAGCACAUAUACACAGACGCACACAGCUUUCUAAUAGGUUGCAUAUAAUAUGUGGGUCUAUUUCUGAGCCUUGGGGAGAUGAGGCCGAUACUCAGUCUCCUUCCCUGCCUGCUGUGUCUACCAUGCUAUACCACCAGACUAGCAGCUGUCAACUAGAGCGAUAGAUGGAUGCACAGAGGGAGAGGGAGGGAGAAUUUUGUUCUCGUGUGUUUCAGAUUCAGUGCAGUGAGAGCUGCUGUUGUGUUUGAGAGAGAGGCAUCUCGUGCCCCGUGCAGAUGACUGACAAAGAACAGUGGGAGGCGGCCGGCGGAGACUAACGGUUAUGUCUCCCUCAAGAAGAUGUCUAAAAUGAUCUGACCGCAGCCUCUCAGUCUCUCACCGGGCCGGAUUGUGGUUUCACCAGUGGGAUCAGGAGCUCAGCUCGGAAUUCUGGGAAUAUUGCUACCAGCAGAUUGGAUGAUGCUUCCCACAACUGCUGUUACUAAGAAAAGCCUGAAGAAAAAAACACACACACACACACACACACACACACACACACACACACACACACACACACACACACACACACACACACACACACACACACACACACACACACACUUAGACCUGACCAGGUAGCCAUGGGUGUGUAGAGGGAGAAAGAGAGAGGCAGCAUAAGUAUUAGCUAUAAUAUGGGCUCUGCAAGUCACAUUAAGUAGGUGGGUGUGUGAGUGUGCGUGUGCAUGUGCGUGUGUGCAUAGUAAGUGUGUGUGUGUGUGGUGAGUGUGUGUACAUAGUAAAUGUGUGUGUGUGUCUGAGUGUGUGUGUGUGUGUGUGUGUGUGUGUGAGAGUGCGUGUAUGUGUGUGAGUGAGUGUGUGUUAGUGUGUGUGUGUGUGCGUGUAUGUGUGUGUGUGUGUGUGAGAGAUUGAAUCAGGAGCUGAUUUGUGUGUGUUGCAGGUUUCAGGGAGGAUGUCUGUAGCGGUGGUCCCAGAAUCCUCAGGGCUGAGGUCAUGUGAUGAGUUAUGCCCAUCCCCAUCAUCCAUCUUCAGCCCCCCCAUCGCCACAGAGGAGGAGGAGGGUCGCCAUGACAACAGGAGGGUAGAGCAGCAGGCCAAAGGCAGGUUAGUGUGAAGCAUGGCUGUGUGUGAUCCUCCCCACCCCCUGCUGACACCCCCCAGAACAGCCAGGUGGACUACAAUCAAGUUGUAGAAACAUCUCAAGGAUGAUCAAUGGAAAAAAUAUGCACCUGAGCUCAAUGUCGAGUCUCAUAGCAAAGGAUCUGAUUACUAAAUAAGGGCGAGGACCUGCCUUCCUAGUUUGGUCACAUGACUGUGAGCUGCCAGUCAUUGGCGUAAGCUCCGCCUCUAUACCCUCCCUUAGCCCCUCCCACACAGAGUUAAGUCUACACUGCCCCUCCUCAAAACCUCCCCAGCUACUGCCAACCCCCUCCAACCCAGCCAAUCAGCAGCAAAGCUACCAGGGAAUGAUGGAGUUGCAGCUGCUUCCGAGCUAAGCCCAAAGCAUGCUGGGAUGGCGAAGCGUGAUUCGUCACUCCAGAGAAUGCGUUUCCACUGCGCCAGAAUCCAAUGGCGGCAAGCUUUACACCACUCCAGCCAAGGUUGGCAUUGCGCAUGGUGAUCUUAGAGUUGUAUCCGGCUGCUCGGCCAUGGAAACCAUUUUAUGAAGCUCCUAACAAACAGUUCUUGUGCAGACGAGGCUUCCACAGGCAGUUUGGAACUCGGUAGUGAGUGUUGCAACAAAGGACAGACAAUUUUUACAGCCUACGCACUUCAGCACUUGGCGGUGCCGUACUGUGAGCUUGUGUGGCCUACCACUUCACUGUUGAGCCGUUGUUGCUCCUAGACAUUUCCACUUCACAAUAACAGCACUUACAGUUGACCGGGGCAGCUCUAGCAGGGCAGAAAUUUAACAAACUGACUUGCUGACACACUGACUCGGUACCGGUACCCCCUGUAUAUAGUCUCCACACUGACUCAAUACCGGUACCCCCUGUAUAAAGCCUCCACACUGACUCUGUACCAGUACCCCCUGUAUAUAGUCUCCACACUGACUCGGUACCAGUACCCCCUGUAUAAAGCCUCGUUAUUGUGUUACUUUUUACUUUAGUAUAUUUGGUAAAUAUUUUCUUAACUCUUCUUGAACUGUACUGUUGGUUAAGGACUUGUAAGUAAACAUUUCGCGGUAAGGUCGACACUUGUGGUAUUCGGCGCAUGUGACAAAAAAAGUUUGAUUUGAUUUGAAAGGUGGCAUCCUAUGACGGUGCCAUGUUGAAAGUCACUGAUCUCUUCAGAAAGGACCAUUCCACUGCCAAUGUUUGUCUAUGGAGAUUGCAUGGCGGUGUGCUCGAUUUUAUUCACCUUACAGCAACGGGUGUGACUGAUAUAGCAGAAUCCACUAAUUUGAAGGGCUGUCCACAUACUUUUGGCCAUGUAGUGUACAGUGCAUUCAGAAAGUAUUCAGACCCCUUGACCUUCCUCACAUUGUGUUACGUUACAGCCUUAUUCUAAAAUGGAUUAAAUAAAACAUCCUCAAAUCUACACACAAUACCUCAUAACGACAUCACAAUACCCCAUAACGACAUCACAAUACCCCAUAACGACAUCACAAUACCCCAUAACGACAAAGAGAAAACCGGUUUAGAUUGUUUUGCAAAUUUACAAAUUCUUGAAAAUAGAAAUACCUUAUUUAUAUAAGUAUUCAGACCUUUUGCUAUGAGACUCGACAUUGAGCUCAGGUGCAUCCUGUUUCCAUUGAUCUUCCUUGAGAUGUUUCUACAACUUCACCUGUGGUAAAUUCAAUUGAUUGGACAUGAUUUGGAAAGGCACACACCUGUCUAUAUAAAGUCCCACAGUUGACAGUGCAUGUCAGAGCAAAAACCAAGCCAUGAGGUCAAAGCAAUUGUCCGUAGAUCUCUGAGACAGGCUUGUGUCGAGGCACAGAUCUGGGGGAAGGGUACCAACAAAUGUCUUCAUUAUUUAAGGUCCCCAAGAACAUAGGGGCCUCCAUCAUUCUUAAAUGGAAGAAGUUUGGAACCACCAAGAGCAAUCGGGGAGAAGGGCCUUGGACAGAGGUGACCAAGAACCGCCUCUAUACCCUCCCUUAGCCCCUCCCACACAGAGUUAAGUCUACACUGCCCCUCCUCAAAACCUCCCCAGCUACUGCCAACCUGACAGAGCUCCAGAGUUCCUCUGUGGAGAUGGUUGUCCUUCUGGAAGGUUCUCCCAUCUCUGCAGCACUCCACCAAUAAGGCCUUUAUGGUAGAGUGGCCAGACGGAAGCCACUCCUCAGUAAAAUGCACAUGACAGCCCGCUUGGAAUUUUCCAAAAGGCACCUAAAGGACUCAGACCAUGAGAAACAAGAUUCUUUGGUCGGUUGAAACCAAGAUUGAACUCUUUGGCCUGAAUGCCAAAUGUCACGUCGGGAGGAAUCCUGGCACCAUCCCUACGGUGAAGCAUGGUGGUGGCAGCAUCAUGCUGUGGGGAUGUUUUUCAGCGUCAGGGACUGGGAGACUAGUCAGGAUCGAGGGAGAGAUGAACGGAGAAAAGUACAGAGAGAUCCUUGAUGCAAAUCUGCUCCAGAGCGCUCAGGACCUCAAACUGGGGCGAAGGUUCACCUUCCAACAGGACAACAACCCUAAGCACACAGCCAAGACAACGCAGGAGUGGCUUCGGGACACGUCUCUGAAUGUCCUUGAGUGGCCCAGCCAGAGCUUGGAUUUGAACCGGAUCAAACAUCGCUGGAGAGACCGGAAAAUAGCUGUGCAGCGACGCUCCCCAUCCAACCUGACAGAGCUUGAGAGGAUCUGCAGAGAAGAAUGGGAGAAACUCCCUAAAUACAGGUGGACCAAGCUUGUAGCAUCAUACCCAAGAGGACUUGAGGCUGUAAUCGCUGCCAAAGGUGCUUCAACAAAGUACUGAGUAAAGUGUCUGAAUACUUAAGUAAAUGUGAUAUUUCAGUGUUUUACUUUUUUGAAUGUGCAAAAAUGUAGAAUUAUUUUGAUUUACUUUGUCAUUAUGGGGUAUUGUGAUGUCGUUAUGGGGUAUUGUGAUGUCGUAUUGUGAUGUCGUUAUGGGAUAUUGUGUGUAGAUUGAUGAGGGGGGGAAACUAUUUUAACCAUUUUAGAAUAAGGCUGUAACGUAAAAAAGAAUAAAGUCAAGGGGUAUGAAUACUUUCUGAAGGCAUUGUAUAUCAGAGGUGCUGUACAGCAUCAUUUAUAUACUCCAGUUGAGUUUUGUAUGGAUAUGAAAUUACUAUAGAUUAUGUAUUGAUGUGUUUGAGCAGAUUAAAUUGAUGUGGCUGAUUUGACAGGUCACCUUUCUUAA